CAGUCGCCGCGGUAAUACGUAGGUGGCAAGCGUUGUCCGGAAUUAUUGGACGUAAAGGGCUCGCAGGCGGUUUCUUAAGUCUGAUGUGAAAGCCCCCGGCUCAACCGGGGAGGGUCAUUGGAAACUGGGAAACUUGAGUGCAGAAGAGGAGAGCGGAAUUCCACGUGUAGCGGUGAAAUGCGUAGAGAUGUGGAGGAACACCAGUGGCGAAGGCGACUCUCUGGUCUGUAACUGACGCUGAGGAGCGAAAGCGUGGGGAGCGAACAGGAUUAGAUACCCGCGUAGUCCCUGUCUCUUAUAC
rnacentral:rRNA from 1 species